CCAAAAAUUACCACAAAAUUUGCAUCUCAACACACACUUAUCUUAGAAAAUGAACAUGGGUCAAUAAUCAGGGCAUGAGCUAUUUUGAUUGUUUUAAGAACAUCUGGUGAAUGGUCAUUUAUUCAGGAAAAAAAUCUAGUUAACAUCAGAAAGAAACUCAAAAGUCUACACAGCUGAGUCAUGGCUUGCUCACUUCUCAAGAUCUGCUCAUUACAUGUAGACUCUCAGGAAUUUCCUCAUCCCCAAUACCUAAUCUGUGACUGCCAGUGACCCAGGAAGUGUUUCUCAUCUCAGUCACACAGCCCUGUGUUGCAGAGGCUUUGUUCAAGGUAUCAGUAAUAGGAGCCCAAAUUCUCCAUCUUGGGGGACCCACUCAGGAUCAAAGGCUGUGCCCCAUGCACAGCAGAUAGAGAAUGUGAAAGGCACAUAUGAGGGACACAAUGAGAAGCCCAAGGCUUCCUGCCUCUCCUUCCUCUAAGCCCACUAGAGAAGAUCUCAGCACCAGGUCUGCCAUUAACUCACUACAGAGCCUUGGAAAGUUGUGGGACCUUGAAAUCCCCACCACUGCAAGACAGAAUGUUGCUGGGCCCAACCAGAUGCAGCUGAAAAAUAGAAGCAGCCUAAAUGUCCAUCAAAUGAUGGAUGGAUAAUGAAAAUGUGAUAAAUGUAUGCAGUGAAAUACCAUUCAGCUGUUAAUAAAAAAGAACUUGACUUGGACUGGCACCCAGGGACUGCAGGCCUGCUCUGAGGAACCUGAGAGACCACAGAGGACUCAAGGGGACACAACUGCAAAGGAUGAGCCUGAAGAACAUGCAUUAUCUCUAGAACAACAAAAAAGGCAGAUCUUAUGGGAAGAUGCUUCUAAAAUGUGGUUUUAUGGAAUUCUGGGAAAACAGAUAACAGAACAGAGUUGCAUGUGCAAUUGGAGAGAAUCAGAACUAGAAACGCAUCAGCAACAGGGUUCAGCGAACUUUGCAGAAGAAGAGGAAGAAAGAUUCUAAGAGCCAACAGGGAUGGAAAACACCAAGGACAAUGCUUCCCAGAUACAACAGGACUGACCACAUAUGAACUCAAAGACAGUGGCAGCUGCAGAGAGCCUGCACAGGUCCAAACCAGAAGGGGCACCAGGAGGAAGUGGACAUGAGCUCCCACCCCUAAGCAAGAAGAUAACUCCAAUUAUCAAACGGUUGCAAAGGAAAAAAAUGUUUUCCAAUGAAGUCUCGCUGGGUAUAAAAAAAAAAAUUCACUUAAGGGCAUUUUUGGAGAUCUUUUUGUGUCAUAAUCCUUUGUCUGGGCCUUUCUUUUUUAACCUUAGUGGUCUUAUGCUCAUAUGUUAUUGUUUCUGAUUUUGUUUUUAUGUUUAUUUCUGUGUGUCUCUACAGGUAAAAAAGCUUCUCUUGCUUUUCCUAAUUUUGUUUUCUCAUUGUUUUGCUCUAGUCUGGUCUGGUUUUUGUUUGGUUGGUUUUUGUCUGUUUUUUAAAGAGCAAAAGAAGGCAUGGAGUUAGAUGGGUAUGGAGGCAGGGAGGAUCUGGGAGAUGAGGGAGAGGAAACUGGUCAGAAUACAUUGUAUGAAAUACACUAUUUUCUAUAAUAAAAAAACAAGAUUUUAAGAGCUGAAUGUUUCUGUGAAGAAGCUUCUCUGAUGAGGGUCAAGUGAUGCUCUCAUCUGGGUCCCAGCCUAGUGUGGCAGCUGUAGGUCCUGGUAGAUACAGGCUCUGUGAGUUGGCUGAGUCACAAGGGACUGAAAGGGGGAUAGAAGAAUAGGCUAAGAGGGGUCACCAGAAGAACUAGGGGGAGCCUGAGUCUUCAUCAAGAGGCUGGGUCCCUAGGGGAUGGAAGGGGUUUUAGGCCUCAUUUUUAAGCCUAUCAUAAUGGAUGCUGUGUGUCAACAUUUGAAUUGAGGGG
ensembl:lncRNA